rnacentral:rRNA from 1 species
AUACGGAGGAUCCGAGCGUUAUCCGGGUUUAUUGGGUUUAAAGGGAGCGUAGGUGGGAUAUUAAGUCAGCUGUGAAAGUUUGGGGCUCAACCUUAAAAUUGCAGUUGAUACUGGUUUCCUUGAGUACGGUACAGGUGGGCGGAAUUCGUGGUGUAGCGGUGAAAUGCUUAGAUAUCACGAAGAACUCCGAUCGCGAAGGCAGCUCACCGGGCCGGAACUGACACUGAUGCUCGAAAGUGCGGGUAUCAAACAGGAUUAGAUACCCUGGUAGUCCGCACAGUAAACGAUGAAUACUCGCUGUUUGCGAUACACUGUAAGCGGCCAAGCGAAAGCGUUAAGUAUUCCACCUGGGGAGUACGCCGGCAACGGUGAAACUCAAAUGAAUUGACGGGG